rnacentral:rRNA from 1 species
GUCCACGCCCUAAACGAUGGGCACUAAGUGUGGGAGGUAUCGACCCCUCCCGUGCCGCACCUAACGGAGUAAGUGCCCCGCCUGGGGAGUACGGCCGCAAGGUUGAAACUCAAAGGAAUUGACGGGGCCCGCACAAGCGGUGGAGCAUGUGGUUUAAUUCGACGCAACGCGAAGAACCUUACCCAGGCUUGACAUGCAGGUAGUAGGAACCUGAAAAGGGGCAACGACCCCGCAAGGGGAGCCUGCACAGGUGCUGCAUGGCUGUCGU